UACGGGGGGAGCAAGCGUUGUUCGGAUUUACUGGGCGUAAAGGGCGCGUAGGCGGCCAGCACAAGUCAGUUGUGAAAUCUCCGAGCUUAACUCGGAAAGGUCAACUGAUACUGGAUGGCUUGAGUUUGGGAGAGGGACGCGGAAUUCCAGGUGUAGCGGUGAAAUGCGUAGAUAUCUGGAGGAACACCGGUGGCGAAGGCGGCGUCCUGGACCAAUACUGACACUGAUGAGCGAAAGCCAGGGGAGCAAACGGG
rnacentral:rRNA from 1 species